rnacentral:rRNA from 1 species
AAGUCGUAACAAGGUUUCCGUAGGUGAACCUGCGGAAGGAUCAUUACCUAGAGUUGUAGGCUUUGCCUGCUAUCUCUUACCCAUGUCUUUUGAGUACCUUACGUUUCCUCGGUGGGUUCGCCCACCGAUUGGACAAACUUAAACCCUUUGCAGUUGAAAUCAGCGUCUGAAAAAACUUAAUAGUUACAACUUUCAACAACGGAUCUCUUGGUUCUGGCAUCGAUGAAGAACGCAGCGAAAUGCGAUAAGUAGUGUGAAUUGCAGAAUUCAGUGAAUCAUCGAAUCUUUGAACGCACAUUGCGCCCCUUGGUAUUCCAUGGGGCAUGCCUGUUCGAGCGUCAUUUGUACCUUCAAGCUCUGCUUGGUGUUGGGUGUUUGUCUCCUGUAGACUCGCCUUAAAACAAUUGGCAGCCGGCGUAUUGAUUUCGGAGCGCAGUACAUCUCGCGCUUUGCACUCAUAACGACGACAUCCAAAAGUACAUUUUUACACUCUUGACCUCGGAUCAGGUAGGGAUACCCGCUGAACUUAAGCAUAUCAAUAA